GAGGUUGGGCUGGCUGGGAUUUUGUUCCAUCCUGGAGCAACAAAUCCCACAGGAUUUUGUGGGUUUGGGGAGGUUUAAUUGGGGAUACACAAAUAUUCCCAGAACAAGUCACAGGGAUGUAACUCCAUGAGGGAAAAGGAGGAGAAGAUUUUAGCCAAAAUCCAAGGAUUUUGAAUGAAGAAAGUUCUCAGAAAUUAAGGAUGCUGUUUUCUUCCCCAUUUAUGGAAUUUGAACCCUGGCAAGGCUGGGCCACCUUGCAGAGGAAGACAGGGACUGGCAACCUGGGACCUGGAUGGUUCUUCCAACCUGGAGCAAAAAGCCCAAAGGAAAUGACCUGGCUUGUCGAUUGUGUGGUUUUGGGCCUGUGUGGGCCCAGCAGCGCCCUCAGGGCUGGGCCCGGUCACCACAGGGACCUGGAGCUUGGGAGGUCUGAGGUAAAAAAUCCCAUUUUCUGUAAAUAUCCCAAAUUCCUGCUGCUCCCUCUUCUCAAAGACUGAGCUUCUGUUUCCUGGGGUUUCCCUCAGCCUCUCCUGUUUGCUUUUUGGGGUUUUUUUUUGCUGCAUUUCCAGGCCAAACUCCAGGAAUGUUCCAGGCCUUUCCUCCCACCUGGAAUUCUUCUUGGGAUUGGGAAAUUCUUGGAAGUUUUUCCACUUUUUCCUCAGCUGCCCCAGGGUGGAUUUGUCCGUCCUGUCUGUGUUUCCUGCUGGGAAAUGAGAAAAAGCUGCAAUUCACCUUUUUUCCCCUCAGUUUUGUACUUCAUCCUUCCUUUGGGAAUAAAAAUUGGAAUUUUCUUCCAGUUUUUUCCUUCCAGUUUUUUUUCCUUUCUAUUUCAGCACCAAAACA